rnacentral:lncRNA from 1 species
GCUUAGAGUCACUUUUUUCCACACCAAGAUGAUAAAUGCAUCCACCCAGAUUUUAUUCCAAUAUGUACACGGUUUUAUGUUUGUUCAGUCCCUGAUCCAUCUAGAAUUUAUUUAUUUAAUUUAUGUGUAGGGUUUUCCUUCAGUGCAUCAUCAUAUUAAACCAUCCCCCCCCCCACAAAUAUGAAGUGCUACCUUCACCGUUUAUCCAAGUGCCAUGUGGACGCUACUCUAAGGGAGGGGACACACCCUGUGGCACAUCACACAUCUUAGAGUGGUUCGGGCCUGCGGGGAAGCACAACUGUGGGUAAGAGGCAGAAGGUGCCUCUGUGUGCAGCUGUCCGAUGGAGACCGGGGGUUGGGGUUCAUGGAUGACGUCAUAAUCAGUGGGGGAGUUCUGUUCGGAACCUCAGAGACGUUAGGCGAGGCCUCUGAGCUACUUCUGUGGACUGCUGCACUCUGAAGACAAGCCUACUUCUCUGGCUCCUUUGGACGCUGUCGCUGAGUCAGUGCAGGGCUAGGUAGCGAGCAGCAGUGAGCCCCGGACAAAGCCCCUGCCUCGCACUGCUGACACCUUCACCAGGAAAACACAUAGGAUCAAAUAAACACGGAACAGAAAUCCCAAAGUCCAUCCUGAUGAAGUGUGUGCGGGAAGACGGAGCAGGAGGGGUCGGGGAGCCAAAGACUCCAGCCGGGAACACAGGCUUGGUAAGCGGAAAUCGGGCUGAGGUGGGGCGACCGGGAGGAGAGGGUAGGGCAGGGGGGCAGGGGCGCAAGGGGGCUCUUCUGUGCCUUAGAGCAAAGCCCGGAGGAGGCCGGGACACCAGGCUGCGGGGGUGCGCGGGGAGGCCCCGCGGGGCAGAGAGCACUGUGACUUCUGGGAUGGAUGAGGCAGGGAGUAUAAAAGGAGAAUGGAGGGUGACAGCCCAGGUUUGGGGGAGAACAAGAGCUGUGAGCUGCAGCCUUGGGUAGGGAGGCCGGGGGUGG